CAGCUCCCAGCCUCUGGAGACCAUCAUUUUACUUUCUGGUUGUACCUUUUAAUGUUUUCAUCUUCUACUAUUAAUAAGACCUUGUGAUAUGAAUAAUCUUGACAAGAUUCAUGCUAAUCCUCUCUGCUAACCAGCUGCCUUUGAAGACAGAUGAAAUAAAAUGACUUUCUUUUCUGAGUACAUGCUGCAUCCCCAAACCCAAAUGUUCAAGUUGCCAGAGGCAAACAUCAUGUUGGCAUUGAAGGCGGCAGGACCUGUUCAAGUGGAGAGAUCUGUAAACAUUUCUUCCUCUGAGCUUUGGGCCUGCCAGAGUUUGUGAACCAUCACACUACAGAAAGGUACCAGGUCAAUCAGUGCUGAAGCCGACGUGGAGACGUACUUUCUCUAUGGAUGGUGUGUGUGAGGAGUUGGAUCACUGCUUGCCCUGGAAGCAAAGGUUAGCCGCUGUGCUUGGAGCAGUUGUGGCAACCUCAUCUCCUAUGUGGGACCCAUUGUGGAUGAGGGGAUUUCAGGGUGUGUCAUUUAUAGAAUCUCAGUGUUCCUAAACAUGGGCAGUCAGGAAAUGCCCUGGCACAUAUGCUGGAGAAAAGGUGAGUACGUACUGAGGGCCGGGGCAUGUCUACACAUACACCAGGUUCUCUGUGAGACCACCACGCCUGCCUCUCACUUGGACCUCACCCUGUCGCACAUGCCCCGAGCACUCCACUUUGUUCAGCAAGCACGUGCUCUCUCACACUUCUGUGCACUUGACAUGGAGGUUUGCUUUGACAGGGGACAUGUCUCCUGCCACCUGAAACCUCUCUAUAUUCACAAGCCUUCUGUGCCAAGAAUAAGAUUCUUCCAGUCUCAAACUAAAAGUCACUUCCUCAGGGAAGACACGUGUGGUUCUAUCAUCUCCCAAGCCUGGGUAAGACCUGUGAGAGCUUCUCUUCCCACCUAAAUGUCUUCCUUCUGGGCUGCAAGUUCUGUACCGAGUGGCAGGUCAUGUGUCAGCUGACAGUCCAAGCAUCCAGGGGGCCUACAGUUGAAUGAACAGCUUUUGUAAUACAUCUGAUCCACAGUAGUGAAUGCAGUGUAGAUUUCAGUAGACAUUCACAGAGCUAAACUCAAUAUCUAGACCAAAGCAAGGCGAGCUAGGGUUCUCUAGUCAAACCCCGUCUGCCACUUGAUUCUAUAAAUAAGCUUACUGGAACACAGUCAUGGCCAUGCCA